rnacentral:rRNA from 1 species
AGGAGCUUGCUCCUUUGACGUUAGCGGCGGACGGGUGAGUAACACGUGGGUAACCUACCUAUAAGACUGGGAUAACUUCGGGAAACCGGAGCUAAUACCGGAUAAUAUUUCGAACCGCAUGGUUCGAUAGUGAAAGAUGGUUUUGCUAUCACUUAUAGAUGGACCCGCGCCGUAUUAGCUAGUUGGUAAGGUAACGGCUUACCAAGGCGACGAUACGUAGCCGACCUGAGAGGGUGAUCGGCCACACUGGAACUGAGACACGGUCCAGACUCCUACGGGAGGCAGCAGUAGGGAAUCUUCCGCAAUGGGCGAAAGCCUGACGGAGCAACGCCGCGUGAGUGAUGAAGGUCUUCGGAUCGUAAAACUCUGUUAUUAGGGAAGAACAUACGUGUAAGUAACUAUGCACGUCUUGACGGUACCUAAUCAGAAAGCCACGGCUAACUACGUGCCAGCAGCCGCGGUAAUACGUAGGUGGCAAGCGUUAUCCGGAAUUAUUGGGCGUAAAGCGCGCGUAGGCGGUUUUUUAAGUCUGAUGUGAAAGCCCACGGCUCAACCGUGGAGGGUCAUUGGAAACUGGAAAACUUGAGUGCAGAAGAGGAAAGUGGAAUUCCAUGUGUAGCGGUGAAAUGCGCAGAGAUAUGGAGGAACACCAGUGGCGAAGGCGACUUUCUGGUCUGUAACUGACGCUGAUGUGCGAAAGCGUGGGGAUCAAACAGGAUUAGAUACCCUGGUAGUCCACGCCGUAAACGAUGAGUGCUAAGUGUUAGGGGGUUUCCGCCCCUUAGUGCUGCAGCUAACGCAUUAAGCACUCCGCC